UACGUAGGGGGCAAGCGUUGUCCGGAAUCAUUGGGCGUAAAGCGCGUGUGGGCGGCCAGGUAAGUCCGUUCUGAAAGCCCGGGGCUCAACCCCGGGAGGCGGAUGGAUACUGCUUGGCUCGAGUCCGGAAGAGGCGAGUGGAAUUCCCGGUGUAGCGGUGAAAUGCGCAGAUAUCUGGAGGAACACCGGUGGCGAAGGCGGCAUCCUGGACCGGUAUUGACGCUGAUGCGCGAAAGCCAGGGGAGCAAACGGG
rnacentral:rRNA from 1 species